AGAGUUUGAUCAUGGCUCAGAUUGAACGCUGGCGGCAGGCCUAACACAUGCAAGUCGAACGGUAACAGGAAGCAGCUUGCUGCUUCGCUGACGAGUGGCGGACGGGUGAGUAAUGUCUGGGAAGCUGCCUGAUGGAGGGGGAUAACUACUGGAAACGGUAGCUAAUACCGCAUAAUGUCGCAAGACCAAAGAGGGGGACCUUCGGGCCUCUUGCCAUCGGAUGUGCCCAGAUGGGAUUAGCUUGUUGGUGGGGUAACGGCUCACCAAGGCGACGAUCCCUAGCUGGUCUGAGAGGAUGACCAGCCACACUGGAACUGAGACACGGUCCAGACUCCUACGGGAGGCAGCAGUGGGGAAUAUUGCACAAUGGGCGCAAGCCUGAUGCAGCCAUGCCGCGUGUAUGAAGAAGGCCUUCGGGUUGUAAAGUACUUUCAGCGGGGAGGAAGGGGGUAAAGUUAAUACCUUUGCUCAUUGACGUUACCCGCAGAAGAAGCACCGGCUAACUCCGUGCCAGCAGCCGCGGUAAUACGGAGGGUGCAAGCGUUAAUCGGAAUUACUGGGCGUAAAGCGCACGCAGGCGGUUUGUUAAGUCAGAUGUGAAAUCCCCGGGCUCAACCUGGGAACUGCAUCUGAUACUGGCAAGCUUGAGUCUCGUAGAGGGGGGUAGAAUUCCAGGUGUAGCGGUGAAAUGCGUAGAGAUCUGGAGGAAUACCGGUGGCGAAGGCGGCCCCCUGGACGAAGACUGACGCUCAGGUGCGAAAGCGUGGGGAGCAAACAGGAUUAGAUACCCUGGUAGUCCACGCCGUAAACGAUGUCGACUUGGAGGUUGUGCCCUUGAGGCGUGGCUUCCGGAGCUAACGCGUUAAGUCGACCGCCUGGGGAGUACGGCCGCAAGGUUAAAACUCAAAUGAAUUGACGGGGGCCCGCACAAGCGGUGGAGCAUGUGGUUUAAUUCGAUGCAACGCGAAGAACCUUACCUGGUCUUGACAUCCACGGAAGUUUUCAGAGAUGAGAAUGUGCCUUCGGGAACCGUGAGACAGGUGCUGCAUGGCUGUCGUCAGCUCGUGUUGUGAAAUGUUGGGUUAAGUCCCGCAACGAGCGCAACCCUUAUCCUUUGUUGCCAGCGGUCCGGCCGGGAACUCAAAGGAGACUGCCAGUGAUAAACUGGAGGAAGGUGGGGAUGACGUCAAGUCAUCAUGCCCCUUGCGACCAGGGCUACACACGUGCUACAAUGGCGCAUACAAAGAGUAGCGACCUCGCGAGAGCAAGCGGACCUCAUAAAGUGCGUCGUAGUCCGGAUUGGAGUCUGCAACUCGACUCCAUGAAGUCGGAAUCGCUAGUAAUCGUGGAUCAGAAUGCCACGGUGAAUACGUUCCCGGGCCUUGUACACACCGCCCGUCACACCAUGGGAGUGGGUUGCAAAAGAAGUAGGUAGCUUAACCUUCGGGAGGGCGCUUACCACUUUGUGAUUCAUGACUGGGGUGAAGUCGUAACAAGGUAACCGUAGGGGAACCUGCGGUUG
rnacentral:rRNA from 1 species